UACGUAGGGCGCAAGCGUUGUCCGGAAUUAUUGGGCGUAAAGAGCUCGUAGGCGGUUUGUCGCGUCUGCUGUGAAAACCUAAGGCUCAACCUUGGGCUUGCAGUGGGUACGGGCAGACUAGAGUGCGGUAGGGGUGACUGGAAUUCCUGGUGUAGCGGUGGAAUGCGCAGAUAUCAGGAGGAACACCGAUGGCGAAGGCAGGUCACUUGGGCCGCAACUGACGC
rnacentral:rRNA from 1 species